rnacentral:rRNA from 1 species
AGUGGACGCUGGCGGUAGGCCUAACACAUGCAAGUCGAACGGCAGCACAGGAGAGCUUGCUCUCUGGGUGGCGAGUGGCGGACGGGUGAGGAAUACAUCGGAAUCUACUUUUUCGUGGGGGAUAACGUAGGGAAACUUACGCUAAUACCGCAUACGACCUACGGGUGAAAGCAGGGGAUCUUCGGACCUUGCGCGAUUGAAUGAGCCGAUGUCGGAUUAGCUAGUCGGCGGGGUAAAGGCCCACCAAGGCGACGAUCCGUAGCUGGUCUGAGAGGAUGAUCAGCCACACUGGAACUGAGACACGGUCCAGACUCCUACGGGAGGCAGCAGUGGGGAAUAUUGGACAAUGGGCGCAAGCCUGAUCCAGCCAUACCGCGUGGGUGAAGAAGGCCUUCGGGUUGUAAAGCCCUUUUGUUGGGAAAGAAAUCCAGCUGGCUAAUACCCGGUUGGGAUGACGGUACCCAAAGAAUAAGCACCGGCUAACUUCGUGCCAGCCGCCGCGGUAA